rnacentral:rRNA from 1 species
AGCGGGGUGAUGGUGCUUGCACUAUCACUUAUCGGCGGACGGGUGAGUAAUGCUUAGGAAUCUGCCUAUUAGUGGGGGACAACAUUUCGAAAGGAAUGCUAAUACCGCAUACGUCCUACGGGAGAAAGCAGGGGCUCUUCGGACCUUGCGCUAAUAGAUGAGCCUAAGUCGGAUUAGCUAGUUGGUGGGGUAAAGGCCUACCAAGGCGACGAUCUGUAGCGGGUCUGAGAGGAUGAUCCGCCACACUGGGACUGAGACACGGCCCAGACUCCUACGGGAGGCAGCAGUGGGGAAUAUUGGACAAUGGGCGGAAGCCUGAUCCAGCCAUGCCGCGUGUGUGAAGAAGGCCUUAUGGUUGUAAAGCACUUUAAGCGAGGAGGAGGCUACUUUAGUUAAUACCUAGAGAUAGUGGACGUUACUCGCAGAAUAGGCACCGGCUAACUCUGUGCCAGCAGCCGCGGUAAUACAGAGGGUGCAAGCGUUAAUCGGAUUUACUGGGCGUAAAGCGCGCGUAGGCGGCUAAUUAAGUCAAAUGUG